rnacentral:ncRNA from 1 species
AUAAAUGCUAUGAUAGGAAAGAGUAUACAAAAUAUGUUUUACAGAGAGUGGGAUUAGCUGAAAACCCAUAAACUAAACUUGUAGAAAAUCAUCCUAGAGCUGCAGGCUGAAGAAUUAGUAGUAAGCUGAGCCGGUUUAAUGCCGUUAAAUUAUUGAGUUAAAAACUUGGGUGGUACCGCGGACCUAUUUUCGCCCCAUAU